UGGUAAUAAACACACGGGCAGAGACACGACUGUGUGUCUCAGCCGCAUGGAGGACACAGCCUAGUACACAGGCGUGUGCCAUGGCCGUGUUUCAUUUUAGGAAUGCUGACGUCAGAAACAGAAUACCCAAGUUAUUGCACAUGGGCUAAGACACGGGUAUGUCGUGGCCAUGUGAGGGACACGGGCCAAUGACACGGGUGUGUGUCUGGCCAUGUGAAAUCCCCUGUAGUAGUGAAUUAGAAAUUAAUUCUACACGAAAGUGGGACAUGGGCG
rnacentral:lncRNA from 1 species